rnacentral:rRNA from 1 species
CAAUAGCGUAUAUUUAAGUUGUUGCAGUUAAAAAGCUCGUAGUUGGAUUUUGGGUCGGGGGCACCGGUCCGCCGUUCCGGUGUGCACUGGUGGCCCCUUCCUUUCUGCCGGGGACGUGCGUCGCACUUAAUUGGGUGGCGUUCAGAGUCGGCGUUGUUACUUUGAAAAAAUUAGAGUGUUCAAAGCAAGCCAUCGCUCUGAAUACAUUAGCAUGGAAUAACAUGAUAGGACUCCGGUCUUAUUUUGUUGGUUUCCGAGACUGGAGUAAUGAUUAAGAGGGACAGUCGGGGGCAUCCGUAUUUCAUUGUCAGAGGUGAAAUUCUUGGAUUUAUGAAAGACGAACUUCUGCGAAAGCAUUUGCCAAGGAUGUUUUCAUUAA